rnacentral:lncRNA from 1 species
AUGAACAACACGUCACAGAUCUUCAAAUCAGUGUCAGAUCCAUGUGUGGGACACAGCCAGAGAGGGUCUCUGGGCACUCUCCGUUACACAGGGAAGGUUCUGCUUCAUGUUAUAAGAGUUUUCCUCGCUUCCAAGGGCUGUAGGGGAGUGAAUAGUGGUGAGUCAAGGUGUCGUAGGGCGCUUUUUCUCCCAGAUCCAGGCUGGGGGUCUUUGGACAUUUUAAUUGGUUUAGGGUGUAAAGGAUCUCUCAGGAGAAGGUUUGACUCCUUCCUCACAGAGACUCAUAAUGGGCCUCAUGUGGAAACCAGAAAAUAAGCAUCACUGUUCAGUCUCCAGGCUCCAGAGCAAGCAGCCUAACAUUCACUCAGGACUUUUUUCUUCCUCGAUGAUUUCCUGCAUCGAAAUGAACUGUAUCUAUGAGAUGGGCUAGCAGGCACUUAGUUACUCAAUUAUUAGCACUUAUACAUUUCCAGCAGGCAAUUUCCUUUUAUUUAUAUUCACAAAGCAAAAAUGGUACUCACUAGUUACAAAAUAACAAACCUAUCCUUCAUGGUGAAGAACAUUUUAUGGUGAAUACAGUAUUUGACUUGAAGUGAGGAUGUUCUGAGUUCAAAAGCCGCAGCACAUCAUCUGAGUGAUUAGCAGUUCAUGUCAUCUCCCUGGACCUCGGUUUACCUCAUCUGUAAAACGAGAGGGUUAGGUUAAGAGGCCCCUGAGGCCUCUUCUGGCUCUAAAUCUGUAGUAUCCAAACAAGACAUAAAAUUAAUGGCAAGAGUCAUAGUUUAGAUCUAUCCUUCACAUUUGUGACAGAACACUUGAAAAAACGAAAUUGUCGCUUCAUGGUCAACCUGGUAAAGAAUGUCUGAAUGGAGCCCGUGAUCACAGGCCCCGAAAGCACGCUUCCGUGACGUGCUAGAGAAGAACAUUAGGGGAAAGUCCAUGUUUACGUUGAAGGUUGGUGCGCUUGUGUGAAAGGCAGAGGUAAAUCGGCUCUUGGACUCUCGAGUUCUCUGGCUGUCACGGCGCUGCUGGGCAGGUGUUAAAGUCGGUGCUGUGUCGGCCCCUUCCUGAUCGGCUCCCUGUGUCUGGAUGUCCCCGCUUAGCGGCUGGGCGUAGGGAUUGGUUGAAGAAGUGUGCGCAAUCCUAAAAAAUCAGAUGGCUCCGCACUCGCUCCUGCGCCAUUUCUCUCAGCAGCGGAAGCGUGAUGGGGCCGAGAACCCUUCCUACUGUCUCAGCAGAGGGAGAACCCACCGACCGACUGAUUUUAAUGACCUGUCCUCGAGCCGUGGCGCCACGCCUCGAGUGGAAGUCUGAGCUGGACGCUGCUUCAGACCAACCCCAACGGGCUUCCCGCUUCUAGAAUGCGCCGAGUUGUGGGGCCCUGCUUGGCUCCCAGCAUUUACUUUGGAUGGCGAUGAAGAGAGGCGGAUGCCUCGUUCAGACACGACGGGAAACGUUCAUAUAAAGGGAGCUCGGGGGAAGCGGCCCUGGAGAUGCUGCUGUAUAAUUAACAGAGUAGGAGAACCGACAGUGACUCUGCCGCAGUCUGAGAGCAGCCCUUAAACAAGCUCGUCGAUUCCCCAGCCCACUGAUUUUCGCGCAGUCCGGACGCCUCGGCUUACUUUGCCGCAGUUUCACCGGGUUGGGUGUUUUCAGCUUCACAAGCUGUCUCAGGGUGAGGAAUCUCAAAGGAGUAACCAAGGAACGAGCCUUUGUUUACUACAUGGGACAUCGCAGUCGCCCGAAUUCUCUCUCUCGGUAUCCCUUUUCCAAUAAACUGCCCUUUAAGAGUCA